AGGGAGCGAACUCUGUCUAUGUCCGUCAAACAAACGAGGAAGUAAUGGCGUCUCGCGUCGUUUCGCUUUCCGAUAUUCCUGACAAAUUAUCAUAAAUGUGAAAUUACAAUGCGAAAUAAAUAGAAGUCAAAGGAAUUUGUAACUGGCUGCUACAUCGGUAGGCUCGAUAUAUCUUUAGAAAAUGACGAUAUCUAACAUUGACGGGGUGAAAUCUAUCCAAGUCAGAGAAAAUCGGAUAGCCGCCAUGUUGUCAACAUUGACAUCGAUACAAAGGAAAAGCGUGUGUGUGACGGAUACUGUAAAUGAAAACACGGAAAUUGUGGAACAUGUUCACACACUCUGGCUGUAAAAGAAGACCUGGGAGGAAAAUUGCCCCCGGUGUGGGGCUCGAACUCACAACCACCAGAACACUAGCCCGGCGCUCUAACCAACUAAGCUGACCGGGCAGCUGGUUCUAACCCACACACACUACCCUCCCCCCAUUUACCGGUUAAGGCUGGUGGAGGGUCUCCUGCUAUUUACCGUUGACACCAUUAAAGUAUUCUGAUUGAUGGAGAUAAGGAAGUCCCCUUAUUAUUGUCUUCAACAAGCCUACCGCAACAGGGGACCUAGCAUAAGAUCGGAAACCGCCCCCCCCCCCCCACACACACACGAUAUUUGCCAGUCCAGGCAAUGUCAACCGCAAGAGAAAACCAGUGAUGACAAGUUUUACAAAUAAUCGGAAAGUGUGGUCUUUUGAAGAGAGUUCUUGAAGUUGUUCAGCAUGUUGUUUUGAUGGAUUCUUGGAAGGAUGUACCUCUAUGAUGUUAGCUUCAGUUCUGGAUUAUAACACCAGUUGUUGCAUAUUUAAUAUCAGAUUUAUUUAAUACAUUGUUGUUUUGCAAACAUUACUUAAACUUUGAUAUUUCUUUGGUGUUUAUGUAUGAUAUUGUAGGUGAAUAUCUCUUUAUUGCAAUGGCAAAUAUAUUUUAAAAUAUAUAGCAUUAGCAGAAGUUAUUUUUCACUGUUAAAGCUGCACUUUCACAGAUUGAUCACUUUGACAACUUACACAGGAUUUGAUUGCAUUUAUCAUAUUUUGGCUCGGAGAAGUUUGCUUUGUGAUUUAUAUAUUAGUUCUUAAUUUAAAGAAUGCCAAAAUAAGCCGAUUCUGAGACAAAAAGUGUCAAACUAGAAUUCUGUGAGAGUGCAACUUUAAGAAUACUGUUAAUCGAGUGUGCAUGUGAUCCGGACUCUGAACAUUGGAUGAACUAUCAUUAAAUAUUGUAGAUUUACGUAAAUGGCCCAAAAUAUAAGAAUAACAAUGAAAAUAUGUACAUGUUUGACUUGUUCUUUAUUCAUACUAAGUCUAAGUCUUUACAGCA